UACGGGGGGAGCAAGCGUUGUUCGGAUUUACUGGGCGUAAAGGGCGCGUAGGCGGCGUGACAAGUCACUUGUGAAAUCUCCGGGCUUAACCCGGAGCGGCCAAGUGAUACUGUCGUGCUAGAGUGCGGAAGGGGCUACUGGAAUUCUCGGUGUAGCGGUGAAAUGCGUAGAUAUCGUAAGGAAGACCAGUGGCGAAGGCGAGUCUCUGGACAGCAACUGACGCUGAGGCACGAAGGCCAGGGGAGCAAACGGG
rnacentral:rRNA from 1 species